rnacentral:sRNA from 1 species
AUGUACCACGCGUGCACUGCGGUUCCUCCGCGCCGUCCGCACUCACCUGGCGAUUGCUCGUGGCGAUUGCUCGCU